AGAAUCAACGCUGGCGGCGUGCCUAACACAUGCAAGUCGCACGAGAAAGGGACUUCGGUCCUGAGUACAGUGGCGCACGGGUGAGUAACACGUGAAUAAUCUACCUCCGAGUGGGGAAUAAACUGAGAGAAAUCUUAGCUAAUACCGCAUAACACUUACGAGUCAAAGCAGCAAUGCGCUUGGAGAGGAGUUCGCGGCAGAUUAGUUAGUUGGCGGGGUAAUGGCCCACCAAGACGAUGAUCUGUAUCCGGCCUGAGAGGGCGCACGGACACACUGGAACUGAAACACGGUCCAGACUCCUACGGGAGGCAGCAGUGGGGAAUUUUGCGCAAUGGGGGAACCCUGACGCAGCAACGCCGCGUGGAGGAUGAAUCCCUUGGGAUGUAAACUCCUUUCGAUCGGGAAGAUAAUGACGGUACCGAGAGAAGAACGCCCGGCUAACGUUCGCGCCAGCAGCCGC
rnacentral:rRNA from 1 species